GGAGGCGUGAGGGCGGCUGGUGCCCCCCGCAGUCUUCAACACUGUUGUGGUCCGGGACCCGGGCCAGGCGGGUUCGAUUCCCGUCCGCCUCCGCCA
rnacentral:tRNA from 1 species